UUUCUUUUCUUUGGCAGUCGAGAAUAAAGAAAAAAGAAGCGUGUCGCUAGGCAGAGCCCGUCAACUGGGCACCCUUCAAAGUUGAUUGCGAAGAGAGAGAGUCUUACAUACUUGCGCCCGGUAUACACUAUACUGUAGCAGCAGCAUUUUCUUUCUUUUCCUUUUGUGUGUGUCGUCAGUGUAGACGCACGAGUCUCGUUACUUUUCCUGUCCGUCCUUUUUUUUCUUCUUCUACGACGACGACUGUGCGCGCUCGUUUCUUUUCUUCUUCCCUUUUGUUGGCGGCCAACGACUGAGGCGCCCAGUUGCGUACAUCACCAACGAUCCCCCCCUUCGCAAAACAGUCGAGAUGGCACAGCAUAUUCUCGCCCUGUCGCAUGUCUCACUCAUGCGUAUGUAUCAGCUCAGGAGCAGAGAAAACAGACACACAUAGAGCCGGAGCGAAAGAAGAAAAAGAGAAGAAGAAGAAGGAGCGGAAGGAUCUCUUCCAUUUGUUUGUUUGCCGGGGAGUAGUGGCGGCGGGGAAGGUUUCAUUAGAUGAUGGGGCGCGCGUUUCGCCAAAGUGAUACAGAGACCCUCCCCAAUUUUCCUUCUCUUAUUUUGUAUUUAACCCAAAGGAUCCUGGCGACGACCCUCUGCACAGUCAAAAGGGAUGGAGGGAGGAGGAGUCUGAAUGUUAUACUGACGUAGUCGUCGUCGUCGGCAGCAGCAGCAGAGAGAGGAACUUAUUGAUCGAAUACCAACGACUUCCUUGUCUUUCACCAGAUUAUCUCUCUCUCUCUAGGAGAUACACACACACACACACACUGGGGCUCUUGGCAGUCAAAUAACUCUUUGGAAGACGAUGACUCUUUAUUUGAGAUUUAUCAUUUCAUUUAUUUGUUUUUGCUCUUUUUCAUUUAUUUUUCCGACCGUCCCUUUUGUUUUUUGUUUUCCAGGGGAUUCGCUGGGGGCCAACUCCUCCUGGCGCUUUAAUGGCCAAUAUUUUUCUUUGGAUAUCUGCUGGCUUUUUUGUUUUGUUUUGUUUCAGGAGGUCCCCACGUCUGGAUGAAUUGAUCUUCUUUCGCCAAUUCCGUCCCCUCUUUCCACUCGGUUUGACAUUUGGAUCGAAUUCGACACACACUCGACUCGCCGAUGUUUGCAGCUUUCAUUAUCUAUCUGCCACCAAAAUGGCCGCCCAUGUCUCUGUGUAGUGUCUUAAGUAGCAGGAGCCACACACACACACACACACAGACCAGGCUAUAGGAAUCGGGACCAAAAAAUAUAUCAUAUCAUUACAUCACCACCACACCCAUUCCGGACGGCCUUUCUCUCUCUAUGUGUGUGUCUGCUUCGUAGGAGCUCUUUUGGCUAGGGCGCGCGCCAGCCGGACCCGGAGUUUGUUGCAAUGGUCGAGAGUGUGUGUAACUGGGCAAUAUCUGAGAAACUAUAAUAUGGUUGCAGACGCGCGCAACGAGUUCCGGUCUCUCUCGCAGCAGCAGGAUGAUGAGGAUUGAAAACCCAACGUAGAUCGUCGCCCAGUCAACCGGAAUUGAUUUAGAACCGGUUUCGGUGAGAAACGACUGGCAGCCCGUCGAGUCCUCCACGUCGGGUCGGGUGAGGAGGAGUAAAAUCGAUGAUAGUUUUUUUCAAAGACGCGCAAAGUAAAACGUAAAUAAUUAAUUAUGGCCCGGGAGAGACCAUCAAUUCACGUCCGUUUUCAUCGCGGAGAUCAUCAACUUGAAAAAGAGAAAAACGCCAAUCUCAUCCGUGAAAUGGAUGGAAAUUGCGCAAGAGGAAUUGACCGGGCAUCUCUUCAAGUCUUCCCCCCAUAUCUUUUGAUAACUGGUUACGUAAGAAGCCCUCGAAAAUGAAAAUCCCCCACAGCUUUCAUCAAUUUGAUACCACGCGCCAUCGCCAGGUUGUUAUACUCCGCCCACGGUACCACCAGCAGCAGCAGCAGCAGG